UACGAAGGGGGCUAGCGUUGCUCGGAAUCACUGGGCGUAAAGCGCACGUAGGCGGCUUGUUAAGUCAGGGGUGAAAUCCUGGAGCUCAACUCCAGAACUGCCUUUGAUACUGGCGAGCUUGAGUUCGGGAGAGGUGAGUGGAACUGCGAGUGUAGAGGUGAGAUUCGUAGAUAUUCGCAAGAACACCAGUGGCGAAGGCGGCUCCCUGGCCCGAUACUGACGCUGAGGUGCGAAAGCGUGGGGAGCAAACAGG
rnacentral:rRNA from 1 species